GAGACAUUAGUACAGCUUAUGGUGAAUGCUUCAUUUAGAGCACAAUCAGGACCAAUCCCAAAGAGGGAGGGAAUUGUCACUCCUCCACAGGUAUCAAUGCAUCCUGGCUUCGCCAUUGGAAUUCGUGUCGCCCCAAUGAUUGGACAAUGAGGUAAAGAAACACAAAUAACAUACAGAUUAAGCUCAAAUUGCUCAUACCAAAUUAUUUAUUUCUUAACUUCUGAAUAAAGUCUGAAAUGUUGCAAAUGCAGAGGGCUGUAGGAGCAUGGGGGAUUUUGUCGACUAUCAUAGUGGUGCAUUUAGAUGCAAAAGUCUGUGAGUCAAGUUAGAAACGUAGCCAUUAAAGCAAAGUAAAAGAAUGACACAAGCAAUCAUUUGAGGAAUUUUCACUAAGCAGAAGAGCUGAACUGAAUUGGUUUAAGAUGCAUUUCUUCAAUUGCUAGGAAGGUGGCAGGAUUUAGAUAUUUUACGUGAAAUGUCUACGUCCAACUUGUCAACAUUCAAUAGUCCAGACUGACUUGCUAAGCCAUUCUUACCAGCAAAUUAUAACC
rnacentral:lncRNA from 1 species